GCAGGGCCCUCUUUUUCUCUUCCUAAAGUUUCUCCCAAGAACACAGAGUCUCUCUCUCUCUCUGUUCUGAGACACCUAAAGCUGGGGCUGGUAUGAUGUAUGAUACAAGCACCCCUAUGACCACCACCACCACCACUUCAGGUACUGGGUCACACCUGAAGCAAGCACAGUGCUGGGUCUUGCCCAAGGCCUGCCUUAAUCACUCCUUGGCUAUAGCCUAUAUUCACUCAAGGCCCUGGGGCUCUACAAUUGGCAGGUAGAAAAGUCGGCUGGGCCUGUGUCCUUCUCUUCAGGGUGGCAAAGUCCCCCUGGCCACCAGUGGGUCCACAGAUGCCAUAGAGGAGUCAGGGACUAGAGUCAAAAAACUUAGAAAUCUACUUGGCAUUCUGUUGUACUGUGGCUGAGCUGGCACUCAAACCACAAGACACAAUCCUUCCCACUCUUUCCACUUUUUCCCCUUUCCAAAAGCUGAGGAGCCUUACCCCGUAGCCACCGCCACACCUGGCCAUGAGGAGUACUGCCAAAGUACCACCGAUGUUCCCUUAAGGACCAAAGGCUCUUAUAUCAGCUUGUGGUGAAUGCUGCCUGGCCUGGGACUCACCCGUCAGGGCAGUGGGCUCCCCUUUGGCCAAGGGCAGGUCUAGAAAUGCUGUCCAAGAGUCAAGUCCUAGAAUUGGGAACCCAAAAGCCCACUUGGUGCUCUACCCCACAGUGGUGGUGUUGGUACCUAAGAUGCAAAACAAAGUCCCCUUUACUCUUCCUUCUGUUUUUAUCAAGUGGAAGGAGUUUUGCCCCAUAGCCACCACAGCUGGUAAUGUGCAUAGUCUCACCUGAAGCCAACAAGUCUCAGAAGCUCACCAAGGUCCUCAACGUAGUACCCGGGUAUCACUGCUGGUUAUUCAGGACCCAAGGGCUCUUCAGUUAGCAGAUGAUGAAUGCUGCCAGGACUGGGUCCUUUCCUUCAAGGCAGUGGGUUUCCUUCUGGCUCAGGGUGUAUCUAGAAAUGUCAUCCCAGAGCUAGAGCCUGGAACAAGGGCCUCAUGACCUCAAGGUGCCCUGUCCUUCUGUGGCAGAGCUGAUAAGCAAGAUGCAAGACAAACUCCUCCCAACUCUUCCCUCUCCUCUUCUCAAGUGGAAGGAAGGGGUUUCUUUUGGAUCCACAAGCUGUGCAGUCUCAGGUUAGGGGAGAGGUGAUGCCAACAUUCCCUUAGCUGCCCCAGCUGGUAUCUCAGUAUGUCCCAUGCCACUUCAGUCCAUUGUCUUUGGGCCUAGUUCAGCACUAGGACUCACCUAUGAGGUGCAGUCCUUAUGGCCUAGACUACCUUUCCAAUUUACUUAGACAACAAGAGCACUGUGGCCUUUGGUACUGAGGUUUGCGGGCAGUCAGGUUUGGACUGCUGGUAUCAGUGAUUGCCCUCUGGCUAAGGCUGGUUGACAUGCCUUCUUUUGUGUGGACUUCAGCUUAGUUUGGUCAGGUUUUCCUUUUUGCUGCAACAAAAUGGCACUGAGUUCAGUGCCUCACAAUUGCUCUGUUCUCCCUUCACCAGCACCCAGAGGUGCUCUUGGCACCAAGCCACACUGCUGGGGUCAGGGAGGGGUGGCAUCGGAGACUCGGAACUGUUUUUCUGUCUUUUCAGUGUCUCUUUCAGUGAUACGAGGUUAAAACGAGGUACUGUGAGUGCUCACCUGAUUUUUAGCUCUUAGGAAGAUGCUUUUUCCUGUGUAGUUGUUUGUUAACUUAGUAUCCUUGUGGUAGGGGUAGGAGGAUGAUCUGUGGAGUUUUCUGUUCUGCCGUCUUGUCUCACCUCCCUCCUAAAAAAAUAUUCUUAAAUGAGAUUGUAAUGUUUAUAUGAACUUGCACGAAGACAGACGUCUUGUGCUUGGAUCCUGGGUCUCUUACCGGUUUUGUAACAUUCUUCAACAUACUUAUAACUCUGUGCCUAUGAUGCCUUCUCUGUAAAAUGAAGAUAAGAAUAGUGUCAUAAUGGAUGUAAAACCUUUAAAACAGGACUAAACGCCAUGUAAGGUUAGGUGGUGGUAUUGUUACUAUUUAUCUUAUUUAUAUCAUAUUCUGUGGUGACCUGUCCGUAUUUGCGAAUACCUUUCAGUGAUAGGAAAUUAAUUCUACUUCUUGAUCCUAAUUCUACUCCCUGUCUGUUCCUAAUCUUGUUUUCCUUUGCUUCCUCUUUUCUCAUCUACUCAUAUUUUAUGCCUUCCUUCAUGCUUUACAUAACUUGUAGCCACCUUCAGUGUUUUUUUGGAAUAAAGUAGUGUAUGCAUACAUACAUAUAAAUCUUUGUUCCUAGAAUUUAGCACUGUUAGUGCAUGGUCUUUAUCUUGGAUGUUCAUAUAUUCUAGUUCCCAGAACAGUAACUUCUAGACCUUAAUAAAUUAUUUAUUGAAUGAACAAAGGAAUUAAUUACUUUGAAUUUGUGAGGUGUUGUAUAUGAUUAUUAUUUUAUUCCUAAAUCUUAUCAUUCUUUAGACCAAAAGGAUAUCCAGUUUGACAGUGUUCUUUUUUAAGAAUGAUGCUUAUAACUGAAUAUAAUAGUUCUUAUGGGAUUCGAUCAACAGAGAGUAACAGAGUAUUAUUAUGUUAUUUUAUUCUGUGUGUAUUUGUCUAUUACUGUACUUAAAAUACCAAACGGGAGGGGCAGUAUGACUUUGGACUCAUUUGCCAUAAUAUUGAAGUCAAAUGUGUUGCUGUUAAAUCAGCUUUCUUUACCCAAUUCACAUUUGUGCUU
rnacentral:lncRNA from 10 species